AGUUUAUCGUGCGUCUUAGUUUAGUUGCAAAAUUCGCGUGCGCGACGCUUUGGCAAAGUUGCUCCGCAGGCAGCAGCAGCAGCAGCGGCAGAAAAAUAAGUUGCCACAACGAAGCAGUUGAUUUAAAAAAGUUUUGCAGAAGUUGACUGUUUCAUAAAUAAAUAAA